GACGAACGCUGGCGGCGUGAUUAACACAUGCAAGUCGAACGGAAAGGCCCUGCUUUUGUGGGGUGCUCGAGUGGCGAACGGAUGAGUAACACGUGAGUAACCUGCCCUUGACUUUGGGAUAACUUCAGGAAACUGGGGCUAAUACCGGAUAGGAGCUCCUGCUGCAUGGUGGGGGUUGGAAAGUUUCGGCGGUUGGGGAUGGACUCGCGGCUUAUCAGCUUGUUGGUGGGGUAGUGGCUUACCAAGGCUUUGACGGGUAGCCGGCCUGAGAGGGUGACCGGCCACAUUGGGACUGAGAUACGGCCCAGACUCCUACGGGAGGCAGCAGUGGGGAAUAUUGCACAAUGGGCGGAAGCCUGAUGCAGCAACGCCGCGUGCGGGAUGACGGCCUUCGGGUUGUAAACCGCUUUCGCCUGUGACGAAGCGUGAGUGACGGUAAUGGGUAAAGAAGCACCGGCUAACUACGUG
rnacentral:rRNA from 1 species